UAAAGCUACAAAGAGCUAAUGGGGAAUGCCUUGGUACUGACAGCCGAUGAAGGACGUGUAAAGCUGCGAUAAGCUGCGGGGAACUGCUAAAAGGUCUUGAUCCGCAGAAAUCCGAAUGGGGAAACCCUAUCAAGUUAAAACUUGAUAACUCACAAGUGAAUACAUAGCUUGUGUAGAGGAAAGCCUGUGAACUGAAACAUCUUAGUAACAGGACGAAGAGAAAAUAACCCAAUGAUUCCGAGAGUAGCGGCGAGCGAAAUUGGAAGAGCCUAAAUUGUGUGUACGUGAUAGCCUGCAAGCGUUGUGCACAUGAGGUUGUGGGACUUGCAUCAUAUUUUGCAGAAUAUGGAUUGAGUUAGAAAAUUAUUUAUUAGUUAAAGUCAACUGGGAAGUUGCGCCAUAGAGAGUGAUAGCCUCGUAAACGACAAUAAAUAAUCUCAAGUAAGUAUCCCGAGUAAGGCGGGGCACGUGAAACCCUGUCUGAAUCCACCGGGACCAUCCGGUAAGGCUAAAUACUAGUCAGUGACCGAUAGUGAACGAGUACAGUGAUGGAAAGGCGAAAAGAACAGUGAGAAGCUGAGUGAAAUAGACCCUGAAACCGUUAGCUUACAACCAGUCAGAGCACAAUUAAUUGUGUGAUGGCGUGCCUGUUGAAGAAUGAGCCGGCGAGUUAUUUUUUGUUGCGAGGUUAAGGAGAUCAUAUCCGGAGCCACAGGGAAACCGAGUCUGAAUAGGGCGUUAAGUAACAGGAAAUAGACCCGAACCUUGGUGAUCUAACCUUGACCAGGAUGAAGCGUGGGUAACACUACGUGGAGGUCCGAACCAACCGAUGUUGAAAAAUCGGUGGAUGAGUUGAGGUUAGGGGUGAAAUGCCAAUCGAACCAAGAGCUAGCUGGUUCUCCCCGAAAUGCGUUUAGGCACAGCGUCAGAUAUAUCUUACAGGAGGUAGAGCACUGGUUUUGUGCGGGCGUCGAAAUGAUGUACCAAACAAUGUCAAACUCCGAAUACCUGUAAUGUCAUUAUCCAGCAGUGAGGCUAUGAGUGAUAAGAUCCAUGGCCAAGAGGGAAACAGCCCAGAACGCCAGUUAAGGUCCCUAAUAUAUGCUAAGUGGUUAAGGAGGUAGAGUUGCAUUGACAACCAGGAGGUUGGCUUAGAAGCAGCCAUCCCUUGAAAGAGUGCGUAAUAGCUCACUGGUCAAGCGACUCCGCGCCGAAAAUACACCGGGACUCAAGCAUAUAACCGAAGCUGCGUCAUUACAGUUUACUGUAAUGGGUAGGGGAGCGUUCUGUUGUAGGACGAAGUUAGAUCGAAAGGACUAAUGGACGAAGCAGAAGUGAGAAUGUCGGCAUAAGUAGCGAAAACAUUGGUGAGAAUCCAAUGCACCGUAAACCUAAGGUUUCCCCUGGCAGGCUCGUCCGCGGGGGGUUAGUCGGAACCUAAGAUGAGGCCGAAAGGCGUAGUCGAUGGACAUCAGGUUGAUAUUCCUGAACUAUCUGGUAAUCGUUAUCAGAUGCGGAGGGACGCAGGAGGAUAGGCAUGCAGACGAACGGAAGUGUCUGUUUAAGCGUGUAGCUAGUUUGAGUAGGAAAAUCCGCUCAGGCGUUAAGACGUGAGGCGUUAUGAGGAGAGUCUACGGACUCGAAGCUGUUGAAUCCACACUGCCAAGAAAAACUUCGCAAUCGAGAUUAUCCGGUAUCCGUACCGUAAACCGCCACAGGUAGGUUAGUAGAACAUACUAAGGUGCGCGAGACAACUCUCGCUAAGGAACUCGGCAAAAUCACCUCGUAACUUCGGGAGAAGAGGUACCCUGGUAGCGUGAAGCGAUUUACUCGUGAAGCGUGAUAGGGUCGCAGUGAAUAGGCCCAAGCGACUGUUUACCAAAAACACAGGUCUCUGCUAAGUCGAUCAAGACGAUGUAUAGGGGCUGACGCCUGCCCGGUGUCGGAAGGUUACGCGGAAAUGUUAGAAGCAAUUCAAAGCAUCGAAGCUAAGCCCCGAUGAACGGCGGCCGUAACUAUAACGGUCCUAAGGUAGCGAAAUUCCUUGUCAGGUA
rnacentral:rRNA from 1 species